UUUAAAAAUGGUUCGAUAACAA
rnacentral:siRNA from 1 species